UUGCACUUUCUUCUUCCUCCUCCUCGUCUCUCUUUCUUCUCUUUUUGUGUUUGCUUGUGUGGAAAAGAAAAAAGAUGAAAGCAAGACACAAGUUUCUCCAAGGUCUCCUUGAGGCCUUUAUCAUGCAUGAGUACUCAAUGAAAAGUACCAUCGCCAUACUGAACUUCUCAAAGAUUGGAAUCCAUGGAUUGAAAGAAAUCCUUACAGCAGCAAUCUUUGCCAGCAUUCAUGAGUUUGAAAAUCCAAGUUCCAAUAUUGUAACGUUGGCUUGCUCAUGAUGCUUGGGUCCUAUCCUCUCUGAGCUUUUACACUUAUCAUUUUCUUUACCCAAGAUCUUACAAGGUUGAUCUUCUUGACCUUGUAAGACCUUUCCAUAAUUUAGUAAGAUCUAGUGCCAUAUCUAUUGUUUUUGUUUUUUAAUUUCUCACGAAUUCUAUAUCAUAAUCUGUUGACAUA